AUAGAUAUAUUGUUAAUUAUAUUUAUAAAGUAUAGUAUUCUAUUAAAUAUAUAGAAUCCGGUUGGGAUACUAUCGAUAGCAGCAAAGCAUUUGGUGCUAUCAAGUUUUCCAUCGUUAGAUUUAACCUUUUAACUAUUUUUACUCGUUAGAUUAAUUAUACUAUUAAACCAGUAACUUACUUAACUCUAGAGGGUCUACAUCAUCAUAACCGUAAAUUUUUUCGUCCAAAGGCCAAAAAUCUAAUAGCACCAAUAAUUUGGUGCUAUUGAUAAUAUUUCAGCCUAAUUCUAAAUAAAUAUAUUAAACACAUAUUUGUAUCAAUAACUAAUUUCACAAUAUUUUAGGUAUUUGAUAGUUUCUAUUUAAAUUCUUGGGGUUCCGAAAAAUUUCAAUAUUUUCUGAAGAAAAAAGGAAAAAUUUGUAAUACGCUUAUUUUUAGGCCAGUUUGUCCAAAAAAUAACUAUCCUUUUUUUUUUUGUAUUCUUUUUAAAUUUUUAUUCUUCUAACUCCAUUCGGAUUAUUUUUUGUCGAACCAUGCAAGCAAUAUUGAGAAUUGAAAAUAUUACGAUAAAAUAAAAAGUAGUUACUUGAUUUGUAGGUUUUUAAUUGACUGACUUUAUAAAUUUUUUUUGAAUUUAUGAACAUAUAUUUUAAUUUUAUAAGAAAUUUUUAUAUUU
rnacentral:lncRNA from 1 species